rnacentral:rRNA from 1 species
GUCCACGCCCUAAACGAUGUCAACUGGUUGUUGGGAGAGAAAUCUUUCAGUAACGAAGCUAACGCGUGAAGUUGACCGCCUGGGGAGUACGGCCGCAAGGUUGAAACUCAAAGGAAUUGACGGGGGCCCCGCACAAGCGGUGGAUGAUGUGGAUUAAUUCGAUGCAACGCGAAGAACCUUACCUGCUCUUGACAUGCCAGGAACCUUGGAGAGAUCUGAGGGUGCCCGAAAGGGAAUCUGGACACAGGUGCUGCAUGGCUGUCGU